rnacentral:rRNA from 1 species
AUUGAACGCUGGCGGCAGGCUUAACACAUACAAGUCGAGCGGGGGAAGGUAGCUUGCUACCGGACCUAGCGGCGGACGGGUGAGUAAUGCUUAGGAAUCUGCCUAUUAGUGGGGGACAACAUCUCGAAAGGGAUGCUAAUACCGCAUACGUCCUACGGGAGAAAGCAGGGGAUCUUCGGACCUUGCGCUAAUAGAUGAGCCUAAGUCGGAUUAGCUAGUUGGUGGGGUAAAGGCCUACCAAGGCGACGAUCUGUAGCGGGUCUGAGAGGAUGAUCCGCCACACUGGGACUGAGACACGGCCCAGACUCCUACGGGAGGCAGCAGUGGGGAAUAUUGGACAAUGGGGGGAACCCUGAUCCAGCCAUGCCGCGUGGGUGAAGAAGGCCUUAUGGUUGUAAAGCACUUUAAGCGAGGAGGAGGCUACUUUAGUUAAUACCUAGAGAUAGUGGACGUUACUCGCAGAAUAAGCACCGGCUAACUCUGUG